rnacentral:tRNA from 1 species
GCCUGGGUGGCUCAGUCGGUUAAGCAUCUGACUUCAGCUCAGGUCAUGAUCUCACGGCUCGUGGGUUCGAGCCCCGCGUCGGGCU